rnacentral:rRNA from 1 species
AUACGUAGGUGACAAGCGUUAUCCGGAUUUACUGGGCGUAAAGGGCGUGUAGGCGGUCUUGCAAGUCAGAAGUGAAAUUCCUGAGCUCAACUCGGGCGCUGCUUCUGAAACUGCAGGACUUGAGUGCUGGAGGGGAUAGCGGAAUUCCUAGUGGAGCGGUAAAAUGCGCAGAUAUUAGACAGAACACCGGUGGCGAGGGCGGAUUGUGGGGCAAGUACUGACGCUGAGGCGCGAAAGCGUGGUGAUCGAACAGGAUUAGAUACCCUGGUAGUCCACGCCGUAAACGAUGAUCACUCGCUGUUGGCGAUACACAGUCAGCGGCUAAGCAAAAGCAUUAAGCGAUCCACCUGGGGAGUACGGCCGCAAGGCUGAAACUUAAAGGAAUUGACGGGG